CUUCCAGCUUCAAAGCGGCAAUUUUGAAUUUUUUUAGUCCCGAAAAACAUUAUGUACAUGCUCCCCAUCUGAGCGAAAAAGGAAAGGAAACAAAGAAAGCAAGAAAGCUCACCAAGUUGCUCCAAAUUAUUAUUCUCCAAGCUCCCAUCUGCAUUGGGCCCAAAAUUAGCUACCCAUUUGUGACUAUUGGCCCAAGAAUCUCCGAUAGAUUUCAAAGCAUUGUAAAGGGAACAACCUUCGGGUACAACUUGUGGAGAUCAUCUACAGUUCCCACCACCAACUGCCAGUAGAUGCAAAAAACAGAAUUUAGAAGUGCAGUGCAAUUUUAGGCCGGGGAGCCUUAUUUGCUUUGUUGAUACACAAACUAAAGAAUCACCUCGUGGAGGGGGCCGGCAUCAUCACAAGGGGGAAGAUCAAUGGUGUCUCUAAAGGUUAAUAACUUUCUCCUGAGCUCCAUCGAGACCAUAAAUUUUUCUGCCCAUCCACUGGAAUUGUCUUUUAUCGAGUACUCUGCUUCCUUUUCAACCUUUGAUACAUCUUGACUUUUAGUUGCCUGUGACAGUAAUGGCGUUCACAUCAGCGAUGUUAAAUUUGCUACAAGAAAACGGGAAAGGGAUAUUGUAUUGAACAAAUUCAUUUCUAUCUUUGUUCAUUGUCGCGUUUCUUUUGAAAUCAAUGCCUUUGCAACUUCCUUAAGAACAACAGAAGAGGUUGUCCAGGCCGGCCUUCUGCUGUAAAAUUAGUUAUGGGAUAUGGGUGCACCGUGCAACCCAACUAGACAAUUGGACUAUUUAAGUGUUUACGUUGCUUGAAGAAGAAGCCAACAUUUGAUUGUGAAUAAGAAAAUUCUACCCUUGGCAUGGAGGUAAUAUGGAAAUUCCCUUUUUGCCCCAAAGUCAUUUUAUUCGAAAUACCCUCCUGAAUGAUAUUAACAUAUAUUAUGCGUAUGAUAUAGUUAAAUGAUCUCAAGAUAUGUACCCUAGACUAUAGAAUUCCUGGUCUUUAUGUUGUUCAUGACGACAGAAAACAAAUUCAUCUACGAAAACAUUGCUGGUUCUGUAAACUUGUUUUCCUCGUCCAUUUGAUCGAGGAAGAAGGAAGACUUCGAGAUUACUUGACAAAGAUAUAUAAAUUUUUGCAUACCACAUAAACAUAAGAUAACUUCCCAAACUUGCACGAUGUGCACAGGGAUAAAAUCAAACUAAUAUGACAAAAUUCCCCAUUAUGUUUUCUAACUAUUUGUCGUACCUGGGAUUUGCUCAAAAUCUUUUGGAACAUUGAUAGGGAUGAACUACGUAAUCUGGCCGCCAUGUCUGAUGCUUCGUUUGAACCAAUCUUGGAUCUGGGAUAUGAUUUCUCAAUUUUUCUAACCAGUUACCAUGCCAUAGGUGGUAAGCCUCUAAAUCCCACAAACUAGGGGAAUCUAUCGAUCUUAGUAUUGAACCUAAUAGAAAUAUAUUAACCAAAGGUGGCCUUGUGAAAUAAAUGAUCAAGGUGUCUGAUUUUCUAAUUAGAUUUGG